CCUACGGGUGGCAGCAGUGAGGAAUAUUGGUCAAUGGCCGAGAGGCUGAACCAGCCAAGUCGCGUGAGGGAAGAAUGUCCUAUGGAUUGUAAACAUCUUUUGUCAGGGAGCAAAGUCAACCACGUGUGAGCGUUGGAGAGUACCUGAAGAAAAAGCAUAGGCUAACUCCGUGCCAGCAGCCGCGGCACUGCGGGGGAUGCGAGCGUUAUCCGGAUUGAUUGGGUUAAAAGGGUACGUAGGCGGGUUAUCAAGUCAGCGGUAAAAUCGAGGAGCUAAACUCCAUCCAGCCGUUGAAACUGAUGAUCUUGAGUGUGCGAGAGGUAUGCGGAAUGCGUGGUGUAGCGGUGAAAUGCAUAGAUAUCACGCAGAACUCCGAUUGCGAAGGCAGCAUACCGGCGCCCGACUGACGCUGAGGCGCGAAAGCGUGGGGAUCGAACAGGAUUAGAUACCCCAGUAGUC
rnacentral:rRNA from 1 species